rnacentral:rRNA from 1 species
UGGGGAAUAUUGCACAAUGGGGGAAACCCUGAUGCAGCAACGCCGCGUGAGUGAAGAAGGUCUUCGGAUUGUAAAGCUCUGUUGUACGGGACGAUAAUGACGGUACCCUACAAGGAAGCCACGGCUAACUACGUGCCAGCAGCCGCGGUAAUACGUAGGUGGCCAGCGUUGUCCGGAAUUACUGGGUGUAAAGGAUGCGUAGGCGGAUAUUUAAGUCAGAUGUGAAACCCCCGGGCUUAACCCGGGGCAUGCAUUUGAGACUGGAUAUCUUGAGUGCAGGAGAGGAAAGCGGAAUUCCUAGUGUAGCGGUGAAAUGCGUAGAUAUUAGGAAGAACACCAGUGGCGAAGGCGGCUUUCUGGACUGUAACUGACGCUGAUGCAUGAAAGCGUGGGGAGCAAACAGGAUUAGAUACCCUGGUAGUCCACGCCGUAAACGAUGGGUACUAGGUGUGGGAGGUAUC